GUUGCCUGUUCUGGAAUUCUUUGGACGCAAACAGUAAAGUCAGCUGGGAGGAGAUCAUGAUCUUUGUACUGUGAAUACCAAAAUGUCAUGGAAAUGAUAAGAAUAGUAAGCUUCAGGGAGUCCACUCAUGAACCAUCAUCACUGCUUGCUGAUCGGCAGUAGCUGCUUAGGGUGUAGUGUCUGGGAAAGACUUCUUAGUCUGCCACAGGAGCGAGGCCUCGUGUGUGGCUGAGGAUCUAUCUAGUUCAGCUGCAUAUAGAUUAUGGAAAAAAAGUCGGAGUGAUUUCAUGAAAGCUUGUUUUUCUCUCAGAAUAAUCUGGAGAUAAGCAGUCCAGGACUGAUAAAGUGGUUCCAUGACACCGCUAGGGCCCUCCCUCUGCUUUUCUGUUCCAACAUGCUAGUGCACACCAUCAGCCCUUGAGGUGGUCACAUGGUCCUUGGUGGUGCCAAAGCUCCAGUCAUCACAUGCAAGAUGCAGACAGGUGGGACAACAGAUCCCUCGCAGGUAAGCCAGCCUUCUGCAAAAACCGUCCUGUAAGUACAUAUGUCGCACGCCAAAACUUAGGAAAGGGAGUCUGGAGAGUGUCUUGUUUUGGGUUGUAGGGUGCCCAGCUGAAAAUCCGCCUUCUGUCACUAAGAAGAAAGGGUAGCAUGAAGGCCGGAACAGACGCUUGGCAGUCUUUGACCCACUUCCUUUCGUCCUGCAUCCGGCUGUAUGCAUUCCGACUGAGAGCAAUGUCCUGGGGGACACGUACCAUGUCCUGGGGGAGGACAGAAUCUGUAGGAGAAGCAGUGCAACGUUUUAAAAAUUUAUUUAUAUUUUGAGAGAGAGAGAGAGCAUGUGCAGAGGAGGGGCAGAGAGAAUCCCAAGCAGUGCAGAGCCGGACAUGGGGCUUGAGCUCAUGAACCAUGAGACUGUGACCUGAACUGACCAAGAGUCAGACGCUUAACUGACUGAGCCACACAGGGUUGACCCCAAAGCAGUGCAACUUUUUUUUAUUAAAGAAAUUUUUUUUAAUGUUUAUUUUUAUUUUUUUAACAUUUACUCAUUUUUGAAAGGCAGAGAGAGACAAAGGGCGAAUGGGUGAGGGGCAGAGAGAGAGGGAGACACAGAAACAGAAGCAGGCUCCAGGCAGUGAGCUAUCCGCACAGAGCACGACACGGGGCUCAAACUCUCAGACCACAAGAUCAUGACCUGAGCCGAAGUCGGCCGCUUCACCGACUGAGCCACCCAGGCACCCCUUAGUGUUUAUUUUUGAGAGAGAGAGAGUGACACAGUGUGAGCAGGGGAGGAGCAGAGAGACAGGGAGACACAGAAUCUGAAGCAGGCUCCAGGCUCUGAGCUGGCAGCACAGAGCCUGAUGCGGGACUCAACCCGUGAGCUGUGAGAUCAUGACCUGAGCCCAAGUUGGAUACCCAACUGACCAAGCUACCCAGGCGCCCCAAAAACAGUGCAACUUUUCAGGCACUUUGGUAUUUCAUGGAAACACAAUCCUAUGCCAUCCCUCAGGAAGUCUUUUUCUCUGCCUUUAUGGGUAAAAUUGAGUUGAUAUCAGGGAUGUUCCCCUGUGUGUUUUGAGGGCUGUGCUGAGGUUAAUACGUAAGCACUCAGCUCCAUGUCCUGGUUUAAGUCUGUUUGAUUCUGUUCAGUUUAAGAAGGAAAGAACAGAGAAUGUCGUCAUUAUUCUCAUGAAAAAGCAGUGACAAUGACAAGAAUGUAUGAAGUAUGAAGAAUGAUCUACCCUUAAAUAUCUGGAAAUUUUACUUCUGCGUUUUUUUCUGGUGAUACUAUAGUACACACAGUAUAAAUUUAUAAAGGUUCUAAAUUCACUGGCAUCUGAAAUGAGCUCAUUCCUCUCACGGUCCCAGGGGAAAAAUGGUGUUCUCAUAGGUACCCCCGGGGCACACCCAUAACCGCCUAGACACGAAUGUAGGAUACAGGUAGAUUUUAUUUUUUAUUUGUUUUUCAGAUUUGUUUUAGAGAGGAAGCUGGGGAGAGGGGCAGAGGAAGAGAGAGAGAAUCCCACACAGCAUGGAGCCGAACCGGGGCUUCAUCCCAUGACCUUGGGAUCAUGACCCGAGCUGAGACCAAGAGUUGGACGCUCAACUGACUGAGCCACCCAGGUGCCCAAUACAGUUUAUUUAUUUUGAGACAGAGUGAGAGAAUCCCAAGCAGGCUCUGCGCUGUCAGCAUGGUGACUGAUGUGGAGCUUGAACUCAUCAACCAUGAGAUCACGACCUGAGCCGAAAUCAAGAGUUGGACGCUCAACCCACUGAGCCACCCAGGCGCCCCUCCGCUCAAUUUUUAAUAUAUCAUAAUUGUCCAUGUUGUAUCUUCAUAAAUUCUUAAUAAAUUAACUCAUGUUUACUUAUGAUAGAAAUUCACAUAAAUUGUAAAAACUGAAAAAUAUAAAGAAAGCAAAUCAUCCUGUU